rnacentral:lncRNA from 13 species
CUCAGAAUAGAGAAGCUAUGGCUUGGUUCAGAAAUAUUUUUUCUCUUUCUUUUUUUAAGGCUUGUAUUCUUUAUUGAGUGAAGUGAAGAUGAGGAAGAGAGAAAGAGAAAUCUCUACUUUAAUUUGGAGAUUUGGAGCUGAAACGAGAUUGUUCCUUAACCUCCCUCAUGACAUGCAAGAAGGGUGUGGCUCAUCUGCUCUGCUACCACUCACACUCAAACACCUUACAGGAAGGGAAGCACAAAGAAUGACAAGUGCAGGAGCUGGGAGAUGGAGUUUCACCAUGUUGCCCAAGCUGUUCUCAAACUCCUGAGCUCAAGUGAUCCACCAACCUUGGCCUCCCAGAGUGCUGGGAUUACAGUUCUGCAGCAUGCAAGUCCAAUUGAAGGUGUCAGCAGAUUUGGUUUCUCCUUAAGACUCUCUCCUUGGCUUGCCAAUUGCCACCUUCUUGCUGUGUCCUCACAUAGCCUUUUCUCUGUGAUCAAGAUGCAGAAAAGAGAAACAAGUGUCACUGGCAAUCAAGACGUGAACACUGGAGGGUCCAUUGUGCCAUUGGAACCAGCCUAGAACAUAACAGUUACGUUUUUAUUAAAAGCCCCUUAUGCAAAUAUGUG